GUUUGAUCCUGGCUCAGGAUGAAGUUAGCUACAGGCUUAACACAUGCAAGUCGAGGGGAAACGACAUCGAAAGCUUGCUUUUGAUGGGCGUCGACCGGCGCACGGGUGAGUAACGCGUAUCCAACCUGUCCACCACUUGGGGAUAACCUUGCGAAAGUAAGACUAAUACCCAAUGACGUCUCUAGAAGACAUCUGAAAGAGAUUAAAGAUUUAUCGGUGAUGGAUGGGGAUGCGUCUGAUUAGCUUGUUGGCGGGGUAACGGCCCACCAAGGCGACGAUCAGUAGGGGUUCUGAGAGGAAGGUCCCCCACAUUGGAACUGAGACACGGUCCAAACUCCUACGGGAGGCAGCAGUGAGGAAUAUUGGUCAAUGGACGAGAGUCUGAACCAGCCAAGUAGCGUGCAGGAUGACGGCCCUAUGGGUUGUAAACUGCUUUUAUAAGGGAAUAAAGUGAGUCUCGUGAGACUUUUUGCAUGUACCUUAUGAAUAAGGACCGGCUAAUUCCGUGCCAGCAGCCGCGGUAAUACGGAAGGUCCGGGCGUUAUCCGGAUUUAUUGGGUUUAAAGGGAGCGUAGGCCGGGGAUUAAGCGUGUUGUGAAAUGUAGACGCUCAACGUCUGCACUGCAGCGCGAACUGGUUUCCUUGAGUACGCACAAAGUGGGCGGAAUUCGUGGUGUAGCGGUGAAAUGCUUAGAUAUCACGAAGAACUCCGAUUGCGAAGGCAGCUCACUGGAGCGCAACUGACGCUGAAGCUCGAAAGUGCGGGUAUCGAACAGGAUUAGAUACCCUGGUAGUCCGCACGGUAAACGAUGGAUGCCCGCUGUUGGUCUGAAUAGGUCAGCGGCCAAGCGAAAGCAUUAAGCAUCCCACCUGGGGAGUACGCCGGCAA
rnacentral:rRNA from 1 species